GAGGUUGGCUUAGAAGCAGCCAUUCCUUAAAAGAGUGCGUAAUAGCUCACUGGUCAAGCGACCCUGCGCCGAAAAUACAACGGGGCUCAAGUUGUUAACCGAAGAUGUAAAAUCGUAAGAUUGGUAGCGGAGCGUUCUGUAAGCCGCAGAAGGUGAGGGGUAACCCGAGCUGGAGGUAUCAGAAGCGAAAAUGUUGGUAUGAGUAACGAGAGGGAAAUGAAAACAUUCCCCAUCGGAAACCCAAGGUUUCCUACGCAACGGCAGUCGUCGUAGGGUUAGUCGGUCCUAAGGUGAAGCUGAAAGGCAAAGCUGAUGGAUACCAGGUUAAUAUUCCUGGACUACUUAUAUAACUGAAGGGGGGACAUAUUUGGAUAUAAGAGAUACUUAAUUACUUGUAUUACGAAAGCGAAACUAGGGAUAUAGGCAAAUCCGUAUUCCUGUUAAAGUUGAGCUAAGUUAAGUUGAUGGAAGCCAUUAUUGGUGGAAAGAUUCUGCUCUUACUAUAUUCAGGUAUCGAGAAAAGCCUCUAAGGGUUAAUUGUAUAAGUAACCGUACCGCAAUCAAACACAUGUGGGUUGGUGGAGAACACCAAGAUGAACGAGAAAACUAUGCUUAAGGAACUCGGCAAAACAGCGGUCGUAACUUCGGGAUAAGACCUGCCUAGAGUGUAAUUUACAAACUAGGCCGCAGCGAAAGAACUCAGGCGACUGUUUACCAAAAACACAGCUCUCUGCGAACUCGUAAGAGGAAGUAUAGGGGGUGAUGCCUGCCCAGUGUCAGAAGGUUACAUGGAUGUGUGAGAGCAUUGAAAUCAAGCCCUGAUGAACGGCGGCCGUAACUAUAACGGUCCUAAGGUAGCGAAAUUCCUUGUCGGGUAAGUUCCGACCCGCACGAAUGGCAUAACGGUCUGAGUACUGUCUCAAGCAUAGACUCGGUGAAAUUGCAAUUACGGUAAAAAUGCCGUAUACUCGCAGCAAGACGGAAAGACCCUAUGGAGCUUUACUAUAGCUUGGUAUUGGGUUAUGGUUUAAGAUGUGCAGGAUAGGUGGGAGACGAAGAAGUGGGAACGCAAGUUCUUAUGGAGUCACUGUUGAGAUACCACCCUUCUUAAAACGUAACUCUAACUCUAGAAGAGGACAGUGCUUGGUGGGUAGUUUAACUGGGGCGGUUGCCUCCUAAAGAGUAACGGAGGCGCACAAAGGUUGACUAUCUCCGGAUGGAAAUCGGAGAGAUAGUGUAUUCGCAAAAGUCAGCCUGACUGAGAGACUAACAAGUCGAGCAGAUACGAAAGUAGGUGAAAAUGAUCCGGCAUUAACAAGUGGAAGUGAUGUCGCUCAACGGAUAAAAGUUACCCUAGGGAUAACAGGCUGAUCGCGUCCAAGAGUUCAUAUCGACG
rnacentral:rRNA from 1 species